AUGAAUGUGGAGGAUGGUUUCCUCUCUCUGACAGUCUGUGACCAUAUUCCUUUCAUUCUUUGUCAAUCCCUCCCUCAGUCUGUCUGUACACCUUCUCCAUGGCUGUGUUACAUUCAUGCAGCUCAUCACUCCUCUGGCAGAAGUCUGUCUGAGCUUCAAUAUGGAAAGCCUAAAAUAAUGGA